rnacentral:rRNA from 1 species
GAUGAACGCUGGCGGCGUGCUUAACACAUGCAAGUCGAACGAUGAAGCUGGAGCUUGCUCUGGUGGAUUAGUGGCGAACGGGUGAGUAACACGUGAGUAACCUGCCCUUGACUCUGGAAUAAGCGUUGGAAACGACGUCUAAUACCGGAUACGAGCUUCCGCCGCAUGGUGAGGAGCUGGAAAGAAUUUCGGUCAAGGAUGGACUCGCGGCCUAUCAGGUAGUUGGUGAGGUAAUAGCUCACCAAGCCUACGACGGGUAGCCGGCCUGAGAGGGUGACCGGCCACACUGGAACUGAGACACGGUCCAGACUCCUACGGGAGGCAGCAGUGGGGAAUAUUGCACAAUGGGCGCUAGCCUGAUGCAGCAACGCCGCGUGAGGGACGACGGCCUUCGGGUUGUAA